CCGACCUUAGCUCAGUUGGUAGAGCGCGAGACUGUAAUUGGAUGUUUAUCUUGAGGUCGCCUGUUCGAUCCAGGCAGGUCGGA